GUAUUACUGAGGAGUCCUAUAUUAAGGACGAAAUGAUCAUCCAAUAC
rnacentral:hammerhead_ribozyme from 1 species